ensembl:misc_RNA 7SK 7SK RNA
GAAUGUGAGGGCCAUCUGGCUGUGACAUCUGUCACCCCGUUGAUUGCCAGCUUUGAUUCAGCUGAUCUGGCUAGCUAGACUAGUGUCGCCUUCCUCCCUCACCACUGCAUAUGCAUUCCUACCAAAGCGGUGCCCUCAGCCGACGAGGAAAACCUUCCUCAGUAGAGGGGAGGAUCAUCCUUCGGUCAACGGUAUAGGGGUAGCUGCCCUACCCUGCUAGAACCUCCAAACAAGCUUCUAAAAAGAUUGUUAUUCUCAUUGUUAAUUGACCUUAAUUUGAUUCCAACUCACUGCUACCCCAUGUGUGCAGAGU